GGGGACUUAGCUCAGCGGCAUAAGCACCUGCCUGGCAAGCAUGAGGUCAUGAGUUCAAUCCCUGGUGUCCCCC
rnacentral:tRNA from 1 species